GGUUUCGUGGUCUAGUUGGUCAUGACGUUUCGUUAACACCGAAAAGGUCCCCGGUUCGAGCCCGGGCGAAAUCA
rnacentral:tRNA from 1 species